AGUGAACGCUGGCGGUAUGCCUAACACAUGCAAGUCGAACGGAAGGACAAUGAGAUCGCUCUCUUACGGUUGGCGACGGGCGGACGGGUGAGAAGUAGAUCGGAAUCUACUAUUUCGUGGAGGAUAACGUAGGGAAGCUUACGCUAAUACCUCAUACUACCUACGGGUGAAAUCAGGAGAUAUUGGGACCUUGCGCGACUGAAUUAGCUGAUGUCGGAUUAGCUAGUUGGUGGGGUAAAGGCCCACCAAGGCAACGAUCCGUUGCUGGUCUGAGAGGAUGAUCAGCCACAAUGGAACUGAGACACGGUCCAGACUCCUACGGGAGGCAGCAGUGGGGAAUCUUGGACAAUGGGCGAAAGCCUGACCGAGCAAUACCGCGUGAGUGAAGAAGGCCUUCGGAUUGUAAAGCUCUUUUGUUAGGAAAGAAAAGACGUAGGUUAAUCUGUGGCUGUUCUGACGGUACCUAAACAAUAAGCACCGGCUAACUUCGUG
rnacentral:rRNA from 1 species